rnacentral:rRNA from 1 species
GACGAACGCUGGCGGCGUGCUUAACACAUGCAAGUCGAACGGUGAAGCGCCUUCCUUUUUGGUCGGUGUGGAUGGGUGGAGGACGGGUGAGUAACACGUUAGUCACCUUCCACCUCCUGCUGAAUAACCGCAAGCAAGUGUUGCUACUACGGGAUAUUCUGGAUCUGUCGCAUGAUGGGUGUGGGAAAGAUAUUGUUUCAGUGGUGGAUGGGCUCGCGGCGUAUCAGCUUGUUGGUGUGGUGAUGGCCUACCAAGGCGGUGACGGGUAGCCGGCCUGAGAGGGUCGACCGCCCCACUGGUGCGGCGCCACCGCCACGCCUCCGAGGGGCGGCAGCAGGGGGGAUUAUGGCACAAGCGGCGCCAGGCUGAUGCAGCGCCGCGGCGUGGGGGAUGGUCGCCUUCGGGUUGUGAACCGCUUUCGCGAGUGAAGAAGGCUUGCAGUGUCUGUGGGUGGGUUGACGGUAGCUGGACAAGAAGCGCCGGCUAACUACGUG